rnacentral:rRNA from 1 species
UACGUAGGUGGCAAGCGUUGUCCGGAUUUACUGGGCGUAAAGCGAACGCAGGCGGACCUUUAAGUAGGAAGUGAAAGGUUGGAGCUCAACUCUAACACUGCUCCCUAUACUGGAGGUCUUGAGUGCCGGAGAGGAAGACGGAACAAGUUGUGUAGCGGUGAAAUGCGUUGAUAUAACUUGGAACACCAAUGGCGAAAGCAGUCUUCUGGACGGAUACUUGACGCUCAGGUUGAAAGCCAAGGUAGCAAACAGG